GCCUCGAGCUGGCGAGUUCUUUCCCCUCCUCCUGCGUUUCUCUCCCUCCCUCUCUCUCUCUUUCUCUCUCUCUUCUCUACUGUGUUGGCCAACACACACUCUUUCUCUCUGUCUGUGUCCUUGCCUCUCCCUGUGCUUUCUCCCUUUUAUAGGACACGGGUAGGUGUGGAUCUCCACAGGCUAGGUCUCGGGAGCCAGGAAGAAGUAGGAGGGGAUGAAAAUCAUGUGAGGUAGUGGGUGCGAGAGUGGAGGCAGGUAUUGUAAAAUAUCUAGCACGGUAGCAUGUUGGACAGUGAUGGCUCUUCCAUAGGUAGUUUGCUGUUCUUGCAGAGGCCCGCUCAAGGCCAAUGGAGCCGCCCCAGACAGAGGAGAAGCAUCUGGAGGAACGAGACCUGCACAAUCUAGAUGUUUCACUUGGCAGUGGAGCUAAGGAGUGCUCUCGUGAUAUUCGAGGAGCAGUCGUACUGAGAUUGGUCAGAUGAAAGAUCGGCCAACCUGUGGCAGAGACCAAAGAAGGAGCAGCCACCCAGAGCCCAUCCCUAGGGAUGGAAGCCGGACAAUGAUCUGCAGAUACCAUGGAGAAAAGUGAAGGGUAAGAGCCCACCUCCGUUGUGAGAUGGAAAGCACCAAGAGCUGUGAGACCACAAGCGUUGUUGAUGCCAGGCUAUGGCGAUGCCGUCAAUCUGGGAGUGGAGCAGCCGUCACCAUCAGUAAGAUAAGUGUCUGUCUGGUUUGGGGAGGACUCCAGUAACGGCCCACCUGCCUCCAGGCUGAGACUUGUCAUUAGCUGGGGCUCGGUUUGUAGGAAAAGAUUCCUGACCUGCUGUGGUUACGAGGGAGACAAGGUCCCCAUUUUCUGGGGCUGGUCUUUUCUCUGUCCACAAACAGUGUGUCCUACGCAGCAGAAGGUUGGAUCGAGGAGGAUGACUCCAGCUGUUGAGUUUCUUGACUCCAUCCCACAUUUUUCUCUCUCUCUCCUCUAAUGUGUUGGCCA